UGCAAGUCGAACGGCAGCACGGACUUCGGUCUGGUGGCGAGUGGCGAACGGGUGAGUAAUAUAUCGGAACGUGCCCAGUCGUGGGGGAUAACGUAGCGAAAGCUACGCUAAUACCGCAUACGAUCUACGGAUGAAAGCGGGGGAUCGCAAGACCUCGCGCGAUUGGAGCGGCCGAUAUCAGAUUAGGUAGUUGGUGAGGUAAAGGCUCACCAAGCCGACGAUCUGUAGCUGGUCUGAGAGGACGACCAGCCACACUGGGACUGAGACACGGCCCAGACUCCUACGGGAGGCAGCAGUGGGGAAUUUUGGACAAUGGACGCAAGUCUGAUCCAGCCAUUCCGCGUGCAGGACGAAGGCCUUCGGGUUGUAAACUGCUUUUGUACAGAACGAAAAGGUCUCUAUUAAUACUAGGGGCGCAGGACGGUACUGUAAGAAUAAGCACCGGCUAACUACGUGCCAGCAGCCGCGGUAAUACGUAGGGUGCAAGCGUUAAUCGGAAUUACUGGGCGUAAAGCGUGCGCAGGCGGUUAUGUAAGACAGAGGUGAAAUCCCCGGGCUCAACCUGGGAACUGCCUUUGUGACUGCAUAGCUGGAGUACGGCAGAGGGGGAUGGAAUUCCGCGUGUAGCAGUGAAAUGCGUAGAUAUGCGGAGGAACACCGAUGGCGAAGGCAAUCCCCUGGGCCUGUACUGACGCUCAUG
rnacentral:rRNA from 1 species